rnacentral:rRNA from 1 species
ACGCACGCUGGCGGCGUGCUUAACACAUGCAAGUCGCACGGAAAGGCCCUGCUUGCAGGGUACUCGAGUGGCGAACGGGUGAGUAACACGUGGGUGAUCUGCCCUGCACUUCGGGAUAAGCCUGGGAAACUGGGUCUAAUACCGGAUAGGAGCCAUUUUUAGUGUGAUGGUUGGAAAGUUUUUUCGGUGUAGGAUGAGCUCGCGGCCUAUCAGCUUGUUGGUGGGGUAAUGGCCUACCAAGGCGGCGACGGGUAGCCGGCCUGAGAGGGUGGACGGCCACAUUGGGACUGAGAUACGGCCCAGACUCCUACGGGAGGCAGCAGUGGGGAAUAUUGCACAAUGGGCGCAAGCCUGAUGCAGCGACGCCGCGUGGGGGAUGACGGCCUUCGGGUUGUAAACUCCUUUCGCUAGGGACGAAGCUUUUUGUGACGGUACCUAGAGAAGAAGCACCGGCUAACUACGUG